rnacentral:rRNA from 1 species
AGUGAACGCUGGCGGUAGGCCUAACACAUGCAAGUCGAACGGCAGCACAGUAAGAGCUUGCUCUUACGGGUGGCGAGUGGCGGACGGGUGAGGAAUACAUCGGAAUCUACUUUUUCGUGGGGGAUAACGUAGGGAAACUUACGCUAAUACCGCAUACGACCCACGGGUGAAAGCAGGGGAUCUUCGGACCUUGCGCGAUUGAAUGAGCCGAUGUCGGAUUAGCUAGUUGGCGGGGUAAAGGCCCACCAAGGCGACGAUCCGUAGCUGGUCUGAGAGGAUGAUCAGCCACACUGGAACUGAGACACGGUCCAGACUCCUACGGGAGGCAGCAGUGGGGAAUAUUGGACAAUGGGCGCAAGCCUGAUCCAGCCAUACCGCGUGGGUGAAGAAGGCCUUCGGGUUGUAAAGCCCUUUUGUUGGGAAAGAAAAGCAGCAGGUUAAUACCCCGCUGUUCUGACGGUACCCAAAGCAUAAGCACCGGCUAACUUCGUG